GCGGGCGUGGUUCAAUGGUAGAAUAUGACCUUCCCAAGGUCGAGACGGCGGUUCGAUUCCGCUCGCCCGCUCCA
rnacentral:tRNA from 1 species